AGAGUUUGAUCCUGGCUCAGAUUGAACGUUGGCGGCAGGCCUUAAACAUGCAAGUCGAGCGGAAACGAUGGGAGCUUGCUCCCAGGCGUCGAGCGGCGGACGGGUGAGUAACGCGUAGGAAUCUACCCAGUAGCGGGGGAUAGCCCGAGGAAACUCGGAUUAAUACCGCAUACGCCCUAAGGGGGAAAGGGGGGGAACUCUUCGGAGACCUCUCACUAUUGGAGGAGCCUGCGUUGGAUUAGCUAGUUGGUAGGGUAAAGGCCUACCAAGGCGACGAUCCAUAGCUGUUCUGAGAGGAAGAUCAGCCACACUGGAACUGAGACACGGUCCAGACUCCUACGGGAGGCAGCAGUUGGGAAUAUUGCACAAUGGGCGCAAGCCUGAUGCAGCCAUGCCGCGUGUGUGAAGAAGGCCUUAGGGUUGUAAAGCACUUUCAGUAGGGAGGAAUCAACCAAAUUAAUACUUUGGUGAAAUGACGUUACCUACAGAAGAAGAUCCGGCUAACUCCGUGCCAGCAGCCGCGGUAAUACGGAGGGAUCAAACGUUAAUCGGAAUUACUGGGCGUAAAGCGCGCGUAGGUGGUUUUUUAAGUGGGAUGUGAAAGCCCCGGGCUUAACCUGGGAACUGCAUUCCAAACUGGAGAACUAGAGUACGAUAGAGGGGGGUAGAAUUCAGAGUGUAGCGGUGAAAUGCGUAGAUAUUCUGAGGAAUACCGGUGGCGAAGGCGGCCCCCUGGAUUGAUACUGACACUGAGGUGCGAAAGCGUGGGGAGCAAACAGGAUUAGAUACCCUGGUAGUCCACGCCGUAAACGAUGUCUACUAGCCGUUGGGAGGCUUGACCUCUUAGUGGCGCAGCUAACGCGAUAAGUAGACCGCCUGGGGAGUA
rnacentral:rRNA from 1 species